CGUUCUAAAAAACCCAACUUGCAGUGUGCAGAGCCAUUGGACCUGACAGUGGGUGGCACAGUGGAUUUGUAAAGAAUCAACGCUGCACCUAUGAAUAUGACUGGAGAGAGUAUCAGGCCAAUAGUUAUGAGGUGCUGGUUGAUCCGUGUGGAGGACGUGGUUGGAAAUGGAUGGAAGGGACACAGUGGAACAUGGUCUCAUAUGGUGAAUCAAAAAGGUUUCCUGGAGUCAAAUACUACGUGUGUAGUGCGACACGUGAUGGCCUUGUAGGGAAGCUUUUCAGGACGCGACAAGGAUUUAUGUGCCAUAUUGCCAAGGACAAUACCAGAGAUGGAAGUUUCUAUGCUUUGGUUCCACAACCAUGUGCCUGAAGAACGAUACAUGGUUGUGAUUCACUGUUCAGUGCUCAAGUUUCUCUAGUUCAUUUUUCAAGCUUUAAAUUGGUAAAGGUGCUGUAUUUAUCUUUCGCAAGACAUACUAGACCUAAAUGCAUAGAAGUUUCUAACUCUCGCAAAACAUUUAAGAAAGUGGCACAAACACAUAUUGUUAUUGUUAGUCUUUUUAUUCAGUUAUUUUGCAUUGGGAUCUUUUUAGGAUUAAAAAGAGUUCAAAAACAUAUUGUCUAUUAAUAUUUGAUGAAAGUGAACUAAUGGAGUACAGUACAUUCCCACCUACAGGAUAUGCUAUGUACAUCUGCAGUAAAACCCAAUGUUCUCUGCACAGUCAAUAUAUAUAUGAACUCAGUGCCAUAAUGUCCUUUGCUGCCAUCAUGAUGUAAAAAUUUGAAAGUGUGCAAAUUUCAAUUACAAAUAAGUGCAUUAAUGUAUGUUACUAGCUUCAUAUCGUUUGUCUUGCUACAGUUAUUAUUAUGCAUGAAUUUUAUGAUAUAAAUAUUAAUAUAUCAUAUAUAUCAUAUUAAUAAAAAAAAUAUUCUUUUUUAUUAGUGCAACAGACUAUAUUUCUAUCCUUCAAAACCUUGUUUUCGUUUGCAUUAAAACCAUAAAACAUCAAC